CCGCUAAUGAUUUAGUCUGGCCUGACUCAACCACUUUCAUCAGGUGUGCGUCAGUUUGCUUAGUUAUACUGACUUUAAAUCAGGAGAGCAGAAGAAAUAAAAACAACACCCUUUUAGAUGGAUCAUGUAGCACGUCCUCCUAAUCUGCUCUCUCCCUCGAUGGACCUACCACACGCACCGGCAAGGGGUCCUGCGUCGGGAGCCCAGCAGCGUUGGUCGCCGUGGGAACAUAUUAUCCUACCGCAGCUGAGCCGCUUUCUGCCCUACGCCCCAACGGCCUCCCGCAGCAGCACGCCCACCAGCCCCCUCUACCCCCGCCUUUGGAGUCCGUGAGUCAGCGCGCGAUGGCGGAUGUCGAGCCCAGGAGGAGCGGCCGGAUCAGAUGUGUUCGUCGGAGUUGCGGUCGAGGCAUCGGCGGGGACUUCGGGGAGACGGUGGUGGGCGUCUGGGUACGGCGGCUGUGAUGAGAUUGCGAUCGUGGCGUGACAUUCCCGAUUGACUAUUCAUCUGUUUUAUCGAGCCUAUUUCCAUGAUAAUGCAAUCUUUCCGUUUUGUCCCUCGCCUGCCCCGUCGGCAUUCACGGCGCGCCCCUCCCAUCAGCCCCCUGUCUUGGCCCGGUCCCUGUGCUCGAGGCGGCGUCCUCUCGUAUUCCUCUCACGCUGUGACGCACCGACCGUCCCUCUCCCGAAGCCAGGCCUCCUGAGACCUCUCCUCCACCUCCGAGCCACGCCCCCUCUCCCGCCGGCCCGUCCUUUGACUCAGUUUUUGUGGGUGGCCGGUGGGUGCUCACCACGGCCCUCCACCUCCCGCCCAACCCUCCAGCCGAACUUCCUCCUCCCACAGCAAUUCCUCAGGCAUCAUUUAUCUAUUCCACCUUCUUCCUCCUUGAUCUCGACCUCUCAAGUUCGCCUCCCUAUCUCCCAGGCCACCUUCACACGGAUCACCUCGCAGCGGAGAUCGACGGCG